rnacentral:rRNA from 1 species
UACGUAGGGCGCAAGCGUUGUCCGGAAUUAUUGGGCGUAAAGAGCUCGUAGGCGGUUUGUUGCGUCGGCUGUGAAAUCCCGAGGCUCAACCUCGGGUCUGCAGUCGAUACGAGCAAACUAGAGUGUUGCAGGGGAGACUGGAAUUCCUGGUGUAGCGGUGAAAUGCGCAGAUAUCAGGAGGAACACCGGUGGCGAAGGCGGGUCUCUGGGACGGUACUGACGCUGAGACGCGAAAGCGUGGGGAGCGAACAGG